rnacentral:rRNA from 1 species
GACGAACGCUGGCGGCGCGCUUAACACAUGCAAGUCGAACGGAAAGGCCUGCUUUCCCUUGUGGAUUGCGGGUACUCGAGUGGCGAACGGGUGAGUAACACGUGAGUGAUCUGCCCCCAACUUGGGUAUAAGCCUGGGAAACUGGGUCUAAUUCCCGAUAGGACUGCAGGGUGGUGCCUGUGGUGGAAAACGAUUUUCUAGUGGUUGGGGAUGAGCUCGCGGCCUAUCAGCUUGUUGGUGGGGUAAUGGCCUACCAAGGCGGCGACGGGUAGCCGGCCUGAGAGGGUGGACGGCCGCAUUGGGACUGGGAUACGGCCCAGACGCCUACGGGAGGCAGCAGUGGGGAAUAUUGCACAAUGGGCGGAAGCCUGAUGCAGCGACGCCGCGUGGGGGAUGACGGCCUUCGGGUUGUAAACUCCUUUCGACCGAGAGGAAGCCACCUGGUUGGAAGGGUGGUGACGGUAGUGGUAGAAGAAGCACCGGCUAACUACGUG